rnacentral:pre_miRNA from 1 species
AGUGUGAUUACCGGAUCAUAUGGUAAGAGUAUUUUUAGUUUUGUAGGAAACUGCCAAGCUCUCUUCGGAAAUGACUAUGCCAUUCUGCAUCCCUACCAGCAAU